GGGAGGGGAAAUACUGCCAGCCAAAUUGACUGGAAUUUCUCUGUGGAGUAGAACCUCAUGGCAGUCAAACUCUGUGGGUUGCUUCCAUAUUGAGCCAAAGGACUAAGGACUCAUGGCAGCUCUGCUCUCUCCCUAUCUAGCUCCAAGGUUAGCUCCUGUGUGACUCCUCUUUCCUUUCCUAGAAAGCAGAAGAGGCAGAGAAGAGGGUUCAGCUCCAGCUGGACUUUUUCCCAGUGCCAUUCAGCGCUGGCUGGUGAUCUACAGAAACCAGAACAGGGCUGAAAGGCUGCGGCUCCCUCACCUGGUGGAGAGACCUGAUGUGGUGGGACCCUCUCAUGCACAUGCAAGGAUCGAGGAGAACAAAGCCGAGGUGGACUUGGAGGAGUGGGAUGAGGAGCGUCUCGGGAGGAAAUACCUGAGGUGGUGGCAUCGCACAGUGGUCCUUUGCCGGCACCAGCGUGAAAGGAGACUGCUCUGUCUGGCAAGGGGGUGGCACCAGUGGAAGGAAGCCAGCAGGGUGGUGAUACUGGCUCAGGUGUUGGACCGGCAGCGGCUCAUAGAAAAGACCUGGAGGGUGUGGAGGCGAAGAUAUUUGCAAAGCUAUGUGGUACAGAAUUUUUUGGAGGAGGAAGCCAGGAGCCUCCUGUCCCAGGCCUUUGGAAGGUGGCAGCAGCUCACAGCAUUCCAGCUCAAAGACAAAGGACUCUGCUGAAUGGAAGGGGACUGCCUGCAGCUGCUGCUCAUUUCAGGACACGUGGAGGAUGUGGCUCCUGUCACAACAAAGAGCUGGUCCUGUGCAGUUCAGAAAGAGAACACUGCUCUUGUGAUAAAAGCAGUGCUGCAGGCCAG
rnacentral:lncRNA from 1 species